CAGACCCAUGGCUAGACAUACAUCAAUGGCCAUACCAGGCAAUUGCUCUUGCUGUCAAAAGCUAUAGCAGGCAAUUGAAAGCAGUGUAGGAUGGAAGAGAGUAAGAACAGUUUCUCUCUGCAAAAUUCCCUUCAAAUUCUACUUCAUCCUAGUGAGAUAUUUUGUGUGCAUCCAUCAGGUGUAAACAAUUUCAAAGUAGGCUGGAUCACAGUUGCUUUCCCACUGAAGAUUGGUUGCACUUCCUGAUCAGACAGGUGUUCUGCUGUGUUGUAUAUAAAAAGUGUAUUACGUUAGAUCAUCCCAUAACCAUCUCCAAUACGAAGUGUGCAGCUUUACGGAUGGUUCAGAAGAUGCCUAGAGAUUACUAUUUUGUUUAUAGUAGUCCACAAUUCAACAUGUGUCAGCGUUACA